AGGUAGCAUAAUCACUUGUCCCCUAAAUAGAGACUUGUAUGAACGGUUAAAUGAGGGCCUAACUGUCUCCUGCGGCCAAUCAAUGAAAUUGAUCUCACAGUACAAACGCUGUGAUGUAGUUAUAAGACGAGAAGACCCUGUGGAGCUUUAAACCUGCUACAUUAACUAUAAUUACCCUAACCAUUAUUAGCAUAAUGUAAGUUUUAAGUUGGGGCGACUAUGGAGUAAAAACUAACCUCCAUGCAACACGACUAAACCUCGUCAUACACGGCUAACAAGCCCAGUCAAAACACUCGACCCAGUCAAACUGACCACCGAACCAAGUUACCCCAGGGAUAACAGCGCCAUCCCCUUAAAGAGUUCACAUCGCCAAGGGGGUUUACGACCUCGAUGUUGGAUCAGGACACCCAAGUGGUGCAGCAGCUACUAAAGGUUCGUUUGUUCAACGAGUAAUGUCCU
rnacentral:rRNA from 1 species